CGGGUGAGUAACACGUGGAUAACCUACCUAUAAGACUGGGAUAACUUCGCGAAACCGGAGCUAAUACCGGAUAAUAUAUUGAACCGCAUGGUUCAAUAGUGAAAGACGGUUUUGCUGUCACUUAUAGAUGGAUCCGCGCCGCAUUAGCUAGUUGGUAAUGUAACGGCUUACCGAGGCAACGAUGCGUAGCCGACCUGAGAGGGUGAUCGGCCACACUGGAACUGAGACACGGUCCAGACUCCUACGGGAGGCAGCAGGG
rnacentral:rRNA from 1 species